rnacentral:misc_RNA from 1 species
AAAUUGUCUAUCAAGCUUAAACGGUUUGACGAUCCAAAAUUAAAAUGUAUCACACAAAAUCAAAUAAAAAAAGUACUAUUUUACUAGUUCGGUUUAUUUUUAUUUGUCCAUAUUUAACAGCAGAGGCCGUAAUUACAGUAACAUUCAGUACACAGUAACAUACUGCAUGAACUCCGGGUCAGACUCCAGGGCAUCCAUUGUUUCCGGCGACAAAAUCACCUCCAAAUCCACACUUCCUCCUCCUCCUCUCCCCGGAAAAGCUGAUAUCUUCCCGUCAAAUUUAUUCGCCCGUCCACUCCGAACAGCAAGCGGCCUUCCCCACCCGAAAUCAUUAUCGUACAUUGGAAAUCUCGGCGAGCUUCCCAUGGUUAACAUAGCUCCAUCGAAAUUUCCCAACGGAAAACACCGUGGAUCCUUUUCCCAAUCCUCUACGAACUUCCUCACCAUAACAUCAUCGUGCGCGUUCACGUUUUUGGUCAAUUGCUCCGCACACCAGUACAGAUCAUUAGCCAGAACUUCCCCUGCUGAUGCGUAAAUCGGAAUGCUCUGAAUUGCAUUGCCGAAGUACAACGGAUUUAGCUUCGGUUGGAGACGGUGACGGCAAUUUACCGCCAUUCUAAAUGUCGUCAUUUUCGAAGGUGGGAAUUUCCUUGCACGUGUUACUGCACGCCACAGCAAUGCGCAUAGCGAUUGAAAUGACGAAAUCUCAGCCGUUUCCGUUUUGAUUUUCAGGUGAUCGUUGCUCUGUUUUGCAAUCAAUUCAACAAUGUUGAUUCCUCCAUCGAAAUUCAAUUUCUGAUUGUUCGUCUUCGCUUUGAGUCUCUGAAUCGAUUCCCUGCUAAAACUAAAAAUCCUCUCCCUCAACGGAGCAUCACCGGCGAAGGUAACUUUCGGUCCAUCAGCCGGUAGUUUCAGUACAGAAUUUGAAAUCAAAACAGAAUCACGUGUAAAAUCAGGCUGCCUUACAAUCCUUUUCACACCUCUACUCACCUCAGCAAACGUAUUGAAGAAAUUCCAAAUCGAAGUCCCGUCAGUGACGGAAUGAUUGACGGCGCAUCCAAUGAAUACGCCGUCAGCUAAUUCCGUCACUUGUACAGCUAGAAGAGGGAUAAAAUGCCCUCGAUAGCUAACCGUUCUGUCGAAAGGGAAAAACUCGUUAACACAAUGAGGAACAUCAAUAGAACCUAUCACAUCGCGAAUACAAAUGUGUGUAGCUGAAGCAUGUACAAAAUCAACACCAUCGUCGUUGCAGGUGAUGUAUACGUAGCCAUCUGAAUCUGUGACAAAUCGUCCCGCGAGCGGAGGGAAGCGAGUGAGAGUAUGAGAUAGAUUGAUUUUAAGAAGGGAAAUGAGUUGAGGUAUCGGAAAAGGUGGACGAGUGAAUAAACAACCUUUCUGAAUGUAGUGAACAGAGAGCAUAGGAAGAUCGGAAACGGAGAGUUUCAGAUCGGGAAGUGACGAUUUUUCCGACGGGAAAACGGUGCAUUUGGAUACCAAAGCUACAGGUGGAGUAGUCAUUGUUAG